UGGUUCAGGGGGCUAGCAUCCCGCGCCCGGCCGAACCGAGACGCCAAGGAUGACCGCGCAACCGAUGGUGGUGUUUUGUAUUCAACGUCUCCUAAUCGCUGGUCGGCAUCGUUUAUGGUUAAGACUACGACGGUAUCUGAUCGUCUUCGAUCCCCUAACUUUCGUUCUUGAUUAAUGAAAACAUCCUUGGCAGAUGCUUUCGCAGAAGUUAAUCUUUCAUAAAUCCAAGAAUUUCACCUCUGACAAUUAAAUAUUAAUGCCCCCAACUAUCCCUAUUAAUCAUUACCCUAGUCCUCGCGCUGCCAAAACCAACUGAAAAUAGGAGGACAGGGUCCUAUUCCAUUAUCCCAUGCUAAUGUAUUCGGUGGCAGAAAAUUGGAUCUGCCUGCUUUGAACACUCUAAUUUUUUCACGGUAAACGAUCUGGGCCAA
rnacentral:rRNA from 1 species